GGGCCCUUAGCUCAAUGGCAGAGCGCUCGGUUUGCAUCCGAGAGGUUAAGGGUUCAAGUCCCUUAGGGUCCA
rnacentral:tRNA from 1 species